UGUGUGUGUGUGUGUGUGUGUGUGUGUGUGUGUGUGUGUGUGUGUGUGUGUGUGUGUGUGUGUGCAUGUGAAUUAAAGGGUUUGUCUAGCCCAGUAGUCUGCAUAUUAGUUGCAGUAGUUGGCGCACCUCUCCUAUCUCUGAUUGUUCUAGGUGUCUUUUGCCAGAGGUUACCUCAGCAUAUGUAGGCUGAUGAUCUGAAUGAUACAUGGUGUGGACUGUGUUGUGAUGGGCUGGAUCUAGUAGUGCUGUGUUGUGAUUGGCCUGGUCCAGUAGAGCUGUGUUGUGAUUGGCCAGGUCAAGUAGAGCUGUGUUGUGAUGGGCCUGGUCCAGUAGAGCUGUGUUGUGAUUGGCCAGGUCUCGUUUGGUAAAUCUGUGUUGUGAUGGGCCGGGUCUAGUAGAGCUGUGUUGUGAUUGGCCUGGUCCAGUAGAGCUGUGUUGUGAUUGGCCAGGUCAAGUAGUGCUGUGUUGUGAUGGGCCGGGUCUAGUAGAGCUGUGUUGUGAUUGGCCGGGUCUAGUAGAGCUGUGUUGUGAUGGGCCUGGUCCAGUAGAGCUGUGUUGUGAUUGGCCAGGUCAAGUAGUGCUGUGUUGUGAUGGGCCGGGUCUAGUAGAGCUGUGUUGUGAUUGGCCGGGUCUAGUAGAGCUGUGUUGUGAUGGGCCUGGUCUAGUAGAGCUGUGUUGUGAUGGGCCGGGUCUAGUAGAGCUGUGUUGUGAUGGGCCUGGUCUAGUAGAGCUGUGUUGUGAUGGGCCGGGUCUAGUAGAGCUGUGUUGUGAUAGACCAGGACUGGUCUGGUAAAUCUGUGUUGUGAUGGGCCUGGUCUAGUAGAGCUGUGUUGUGAUGGGACGGGUCUGGUCCAGUAGUGCUGUGUUGUGAUGGGCCUGGUCUAGUAGAACUGUGUUGUGAUGGGCCUGGUCUAGUAGAGCUGUGUUGUGAUGGGCCUGGUCUAGUAGAGCUGUGUUGUGAUGGGCCUGGUCCAGUAGAGCUGUGUUGUGAUGGGCCUGUUCUAGUAGAGCUGUGUUGUGAUGGGACUGGUCUAGUAGAGCUGUGUUGUGAUGGGACGGGUUUGGUCUGGUAAAUCUGUGCUGUGUUGGGCCUGGUCUAGUAGAGCUGUGUUGUGAUGGGACGGGUCUGGUCCAGUAGAGCUGUGUUGUGAUGGGUCUGGUCUGGUAAAUCUGUGCUAGGGUUGGGCCUGGUCUAGUAGAGCUGUGUUGUGAUGGGACGGGUCUAGUAGUGCUGUGUUGUGAUGGGCCUGGUCUAGUAGAGCUGUGCUGUAAUAAGCCGUGUCUGGCUCUUCUCUCCUG
rnacentral:lncRNA from 1 species